UCCAAGAGAGAGGUCAAAGCAGAUGAAACGGACAUGAGCAUUCUUUCCCUGCAACUUCCGGUGUCGUUGUUUGCAAGCUAACCAUAAAGCGGACAGGCCCAACAACAACUCCUUAGCAACUUGGAGAGUGGCUAGGUUGUAAAGCUGAGAAACUUCUUUGGAAAGAGAAAUUUCCUCACAUAAGAAGUUCCAUCAAACACAGCACUGAUGAGGAUAUUCAAAAGACAAAACCAACACCUUCUUGUCCCCUAGAUCUUCAGUCAACCAGUGUCUCAUUUAAUGGAUCAUUCUGUGAAAAGCUUUGUUAAUUUAUUUUGCAUGUGUUUGCAGCUGUUUGGACUUUUAAGAAUACAUGAGAAGAAGGUUUGGGUUGCUCAAAAUCCAAUUGUAUUUGGCCCAUGUUAGUCAACUGAUAAAUAAUCUGGUCAGAAAAAGUCAGUGCAUACAAUGCUUAUUGUAAAAUGUAUUUGAGAUGAGAAAGAAAUAAUAAUUUCUCUGAAUUACUCUACUUACUCUUCAAAUCCCUAACAUGGACUCUUUGUAUGAUGUGUAUGUCUCUGUUAUUCUUGCUAAUUCAUUGCAUGGAUUAGUGCCCAUGACUGUGUAGUAUUAUGCAAGAUAUGGUUGAGCAUUUUAGUUUUUCUGAUUAAGAAAUAGAUAAAUCCUAUGAGGAAGAGAUCCCAAAUUGAUUGGCAGUGCUGUGCGCUGAAAUAGGUCUAUGUGGUUUUUCUUUAUUCUUAUUUUUAAUCGUUUUUUGUGUGAUCUUUUUCUAGGGGCCAUUUUGUUUGUGAUGUGAGGGUAUUACCACUGUACUGCUUCUAAGGUAAGUCCAGAUGUCCCAUCUCCGGUAGCCAUUGCAGUAAUGACCGGCGAUGCUAUGAUUGGACUUAGAGCAAGAUUAUUCCAUUUCACAUCCUGGUAGGAACUGUGGUUCCUAUUUUCUUUGGAUCCAUGGUGUUAAUUUCUGGGAUUACAUAUUUCUCUCUGUUUUAUUUUUUUAAACUUGAUUUCUAUUUAAUGGUAUACAUUACUUGAAGUUUAUGAGAACUUAGGUUGCGUGUGACAAGAAGCAUUAAAAAUGAGGGAGUGAUAUUCCCUAAUCCCACUUCUAUGGGUUUCUCUAAUCUCUCAUAAUAAGCAAUUACUCAUACUAAAUACUCUUUUAAUAGAUUUCUCAAUUGCAAUCCUAAUCUCAAUUCCUCAUUUUCAAUGCUUCGUACCAAACGGGAUCUUAAGUUAAAAGUUGGAAUUGUUGGUUGAAUACCUUGAUGUGAAUUUCUGGCUUAUCAAGGUUACAUACUUAAUGUGCUUUUAGGAUGGUUUAGAAUUUUUGCAAAUGUAGAUGCAACGGAUGGAUUUAAGGAAUAUACUGUCCACCUACGAUGGAGACUAAUCUCUGAUGUUGUAGUGAGAGCAAAAGGCAAAAAUCUCUCCCAAUUAGGUGACUGUAUUGUUCUCGAGGGUUGAAAUCGAACCCCCGACCUCAUGAUUAAGUGACGAGAGUUCCUACUACUAACGUUAA